CUAGAGAAGGAAUUUCUCUCAAAAGAAGUGAGUGGGAGGAAAGUAGAACUUGAUGAGGUAACUGUACCUGGUCCCUUAUUGGAAAGUAGUUCAUCACAGAAACCGGUUUCUGUGACACCUACACCAAUUAGAGAGGAAGCUAAUGAUAUUGAUCAAGAAACAUCAGAUCAAGUUACAACCGAACCUCGUAGGUCAACCAGAAUAAGAUCCAGGCGAGAGUGGUACGGUAAUCCUAUUCUGGAGGUCAUGUUACUUGACCAUGGCGAACCUACGAACUAUGAGGAAGUGAUGAUGAGCCCAGAUUCCGCAAAAUGGCUUGAGGCCAUGAAAUCUGAGAUGGGAUCCAUGUAUGAGAACAAAGUGUGGACUUUGGUUGACUUGCCCGAUGAUCGGCAAGCCAUC
rnacentral:rRNA from 1 species